rnacentral:lncRNA from 1 species
GGGCAGGAGAAGAGACUCGAGCGGCACCCGAGCCGCAUCCACGCCGCCCGCCCGCCCCUGGGGUCUGGGUAGGUAACGGGCCCGGCGGGAAGGAGGGGCUCCCAGGCCGUCCCUCCCAGCGCUCACCUCAGCUCCUCGUCGACAUUCCCGCGGGGCUGUUCGGCCGACGCCACCAUAGAGGAAGUCGUAGAGGUCUUGUUCUUCAAGAUCCCCUUGAUGGGCCGGUGCGAGGCCGUCGAGGCCGCCAUUGCCGGGCGCUCCGGCUGUCGGCUCAGGGUCGCUGCUUGGCGUGGGGUCCGCGAAGAGAAGGGUCGGCACAGCAGAGACUCGCAGGCAGCCGCAGAUCCCGCUCAGGGCUAAAGCGGCCGCAACUGCUGCCUCGGAAACGGCUACCGCAGCGGUUGUCACGACACAACGACCCCGACGCCAGAGCCAACGCCGAACGGGUGGCGGCUACUCGCGCACCCUUAGCCACUGGCACUUGACCCGCGGCUC